rnacentral:misc_RNA from 1 species
AAAUAAAAGUGAAUUUUAUGGCACUUUUAAAAAAAUCCAUAUCCACCUUGUGUGCAAUGUAAUUUUGAAAGAGGAUUUAUUUCCUCUUUCUAAAAUCAUAUCAACUCUUUGCUUUGAACCUGUUUGUCUGAUAUAAAAAUAUUCUUGAAUAACUUAAUUCAAAAAUA